AUUGAACGCUGGCGGCGUGCUUAACACAUGCAAGUCGAUCGGUAACGCGGGGGCAACCCUGGCGACGAGAGGCGGACGGGUGAGGAACGCUUGGGAAUCUGCCUAUCUGCGGGGGACAACCCGGGGAAACUCGGGCUAAUACCGCAUACGCUCUACGGAGGAAAGCCGGGGACCGCAAGGCCUGGCACUGAUAGAUGAGCCCAAGUCGGAUUAGCUAGUUGGCGGGGUAACGGCCCACCAAGGCGACGAUCCGUAGCUGGUCUGAGAGGACGAUCAGCCACACUGGGACUGAGACACGGCCCAGACUCCGACGGGAGGCAGCAGUGGGGAAUAUUGGACAAUGGGGGAAACCCUGAUCCAGCGACGCCGCGUGGGUGAAGAAGGCCUGCGGGUUGUAAAGCCCUUUCGGUAGGGACGAAAGCUCUCGACCUAACACGUCGGGAGGUUGACUUAACCUACAAAAGAAGCACCGGCUAACUCUGUGCCAGCCGCCGCGGUAAGAC
rnacentral:rRNA from 1 species